AUUGAUCAGAAGCAGAAUGAUAACAAUAGAGCUCUCUGUGUAAAACCAAGCUUCAGCUUUUUAACUGCUUUGGAAAAAUGACAAUCUGAUAAUGAGCAGACAGACAGAUGUGCGAGUUUUAGGCACCAGAGAAUGUACAGAGUCCAAAAAUGAUUCCAAUGUCUAUUAAGAUAGAGAGAAGUUUAUAAAACUUGGAAAGUUCAAGAAAGCAGGGCAGAUGGGAAGAUGGACUCUCUGGACAUGUCUCAUUUGUCAAAAGCCCAAUUAAAAUAAGAGACCCAGGUGUAAUCUGAUCACUAAAGAAUACAGAUGGACAGUACUACUGUGUGAUUGACAGGUCACUUUUAUUAAUGUACCCCAAGUUUGCACUAGCCAUCUUGGCAGUCACAUAAAGAACCUGCUGUCAACUAAAAUUCCUAGGUCAAUUUCCCAUGAACUGUUGUUAAAUCAAGUUUCCCUUAUCCUGAACUUGAAUAAUUUUUUGCCCUCUAAAUAAUAGACUUCAUUAAAUUUCAUCUUCUAAUUUCCAACCACUGUUCCAGAUUAUUUGAUGCAAUGCUAAAUGUGUCCAAGUUCAUGAAACAGCCAACCUGGAAGUAGAGACUGCAUUAUCUCAUAUCUGGUGAGCCAAGCCCUGCACUGAAUGACCAGAACACUCAUACUCCAGCACCCAGACAGCAGAGGGGAGAUGGCCCCUUCCCUGUGCGAACCAGCCCGCCCAGGCUGAACACUUACCUGGAUCUUGCCUCAGUGGGGAAUGAUGGGUCACCAGCAGAGAGGCUUGACUGUCGAGGAGAGGAGUGGGACAUGGUAGGCAUUUGCUUUGGGGACCUUGGCACAUCACUGAAGGAGCAGUCUCCUGCAGAGAGUGGGAAGGAAGACGAACUCUCCACCUUUGGGGGCGGAUCCUGGGCUUGCUCGGGGGUGCUCCGCUCUCGAUCUCGUCUUUGGUUCUCCACAUUAAGCAGCACCUCUGUGUGGGAAACACCAUCACUCCCGUGG